UGAGGAAUAUUGGUCAAUGGGCGGGAGCCUGAACCAGCCAAGCCGCGUGAGGGAAGAAGGCCCUAUGGGUCGUAAACCUUUUUUGUCAGGGAACAAAAGCGAGUAUGUAUACUAGUCUGAGUGUACCUGAAGAAAAAGCAUCGGCUAACUCCGUGCCAGCAGCCGCGGUAAUACGGAGGAUGCGAGCGUUAUCCGGAUUUAUUGGGUUUAAAGGGUGCGUAGGCGGCGAUGCAAGUCAGCGGUAAAAGCCCGGGGCUCAACCCCGGCGAGCCGUUGAAACUGCAGUGCUAGAGAAGGCGAGAGGUACGCGGAAUGCGCAGUGUAGCGGUGAAAUGCUUAGAUAUUGCGCAGAACUCCGAUUGCGAAGGCAGCGUACUGGCGCCUGACUGACGCUGAGGCACGAAAGCGUGGGGAUCGAACAGGAUUAGAUACCC
rnacentral:rRNA from 1 species